rnacentral:rRNA from 1 species
GACGAACGCUGGCGGCGUGCCUAAUACAUGCAAGUCGAACGCUGAAGGAGGAGCUUGCUUCUCUGGAUGAGUUGUGAACGGGUGAGUAACGCGUAGGUAACCUGCCUGGUAGCGGGGGAUAACUAUUGGAAACGAUAGCUAAUACCGCAUAAGAGUAGAUGUCGCAUGACAUUUGCUUAAAAGGUGCAAUUGCAUCACUACCAGAUGGACCUGCGUUGUAUUAGCUAGUUGGUGAGGUAACGGCUCACCAAGGCAACGAUACAUAGCCGACCUGAGAGGGGGAUCGGCCACACUGGGACUGAGACACGGCCCAGACUCCUACGGGAGGCAGCAGUAGGGAAGCUUCGGCAAUGGACGGAAGUCUGACCGAGCAACGCCGCGUGAGUGAAGAAGGGUUUCGGAUCGUAAAGCUCUGUUGUAAGAGAAGAACGAGUGUGAGAGUGGAAAGUUCACACUGUGACGGUAUCUUACCAGAAAGGGACGGCUAACUACGUG